GUACACAAAAAUGCACAUAUUGUGAGCUCGAUGAGUAGGGCGGGACACGUGGUAUCCUGUCUGAAUAUGGGGGGACCAUCCUCCAAGGCUAAAUACUCCUGACUGACCGAUAGUGAACCAGUACCGUGAGGGAAAGGCGAAAAGAACCCCGGCGAGGGGAGUGAAAAAGAACCUGAAACCGUGUACGUACAAGCAGUGGGAGCCUCUUUAUGGGGUGACUGCGUACCUUUUGUAUAAUGGGUCAGCGACUUAUAUUCUGUAGCAAGGUUAACCGAAUAGGGGAGCCGAAGGGAAACCGAGUCUUAACUGGGCGUUAAGUUGCAGGGUAUAGACCCGAAACCCGGUGAUCUAGCCAUGGGCAGGUUGAAGGUUGGGUAACACUAACUGGAGGACCGAACCGACUAAUGUUGAAAAAUUAGCGGAUGACUUGUGGCUGGGGGUGAAAGGCCAAUCAAACCGGGAGAUAGCUGGUUCUCCCCGAAAGCUAUUUAGGUAGCGCCUCGUGAAUUCAUCUCCGGGGGUAGAGCACUGUUUCGGCAAGGGGGUCAUCCCGACUUACCAACCCGAUGCAAACUGCGAAUACCGGAGAAUGUUAUCACGGGAGACACACGGCGGGUGCUAACGUCCGUCGUGAAGAGGGAAACAACCCAGACCGCCAGCUAAGGUCCCAAAGUCAUGGUUAAGUGGGAAACGAUGUGGGAAGGCCCAGACAGCCAGGAUGUUGGCUUAGAAGCAGCCAUCAUUUAAAGAAAGCGUAAUAGCUCACUGGUCGAGUCGGCCUGCGCGGAAGAUGUAACGGGGCUAAACCAUGCACCGAAGCUGCGGCAGCGACACUAUGUGUUGUUGGGUAGGGGAGCGUUCUGUAAGCCUGUGAAGGUGGCCUGUGAGGGUUGCUGGAGGUAU
rnacentral:rRNA from 1 species